UACGUAGGGUGCAAGCGUUGUCCGGAAUUAUUGGGCGUAAAGAGCUCGUAGGCGGUUUGUCGCGUCUGCUGUGAAAACUCGGGGCUUAACCCCGGGCCUGCAGUGGGUACGGGCAGUCUAGAGUGCGGUAGGGGAGACUGGAAUUCCUGGUGUAGCGGUGAAAUGCGCAGAUAUCAGGAGGAACACCGGUGGCGAAGGCGGGUCUCUGGGCCGUAACUGACGCUGAGGAGCGAAAGCGUGGGGAGCGAACAGG
rnacentral:rRNA from 1 species